GUUGUGAUAAAGGGGAUGCGUUGCCCCUCGAGAGGAGGACGUCCGAAAGCCAGGACCAGUUUGCGGACCUUGGGGUUGAUGGUGGUCUUGGCCAUCACCGCGGAGGCAUGACGGAACGACGCGCCAGGAUAACCAUCGAUCUGGAGACCAGGUCACCAGCAGAUGGAGCCCGGAGGAUCGUGGUGUCUGCACCAACCGGAGCCGCCAGCAGGGGCUGCUAAGUCGCCUUAAACCGGGUGGUGUUAAGGAAGCAGAGAUGACGGCCGUAAUAGAAAUAAUUAAAAACACAAUAAAAUAAUACCGUUGCAUCGAAUUAUUGCAGUGUGGGGGUCAAGGUGAUACAAUCCAAGGGUAAAAAAAUAUACAAAAACAUAAAAGGCAAACUGUACAUUAAUGCGACCGUGAUGCGGGUUCAUACAUUAAAAACAUUGAUUUUUACAUGUAUAUAUGCAUUUGAAAAAAUGUAUAUAAACAUAAAAGAAGAGGGAGCAGCAGGUAAG